rnacentral:rRNA from 1 species
UACGUAGGGCGCAAGCGUUGUCCGGAAUUAUUGGGCGUAAAGAGCUCGUAGGCGGUUUGUCGCGUCUGCUGUGAAAGCCCGGGGCUCAACCCCGGGUCUGCAGUGGGUACGGGCAGACUAGAGUGCAGUAGGGGAGACUGGAAUUCCUGGUGUAGCGGUGAAAUGCGCAGAUAUCAGGAGGAACACCGAUGGCGAAGGCAGGUCUCUGGGCUGUUACUGACGCUGAGGAGCGAAAGCAUGGGGAGCAAACAGG